rnacentral:piRNA from 1 species
UGACCAAAUUUAAUUGGGCGUAGUGUA